rnacentral:rRNA from 1 species
GCUCCGAGUUGUAAUUUGUAGAAGAUGCUUUGGGUGCGGCCCCGGUCUAAGUUCCUUGGAACAGGACGUCAUAGAGGGUGAGAAUCCCGUAUGUGAUCGGUGGCUUGCGCCCGUGUAAAGCUCUUUCGACGAGUCGGGUUGUUUGGGAAUGCAGCUCUAAAUGGGUGGUAAAUUUCAUCUAAAGCUAAAUAUUGGCCAGAGACCGAUAGCGCACAAGUAGAGUGAUCGAAAGAUGAAAAGCACUUUGGAAAGAGAGUUAAACAGUACGUGAAAUUGUUGAAAGGGAAGCGCUUGCAACCAGACUUGCGCGGGGUUGAUCAUCCGGGGUUCUCCCCGGUGCACUCGGCCUCGCUCAGGCCAGCAUCGGUUUUGGUGGUUGGAUAAAGGCCUUGGGAACGUAGCUCCCCUCGGGGAGUGUUAUAGCCCUCGGUGCAAUGCAGCCUACCGGGACCGAGGACCGCGCUUCGGCUAGGAUGCUGGCGUAAUGGUUGUAAGCGACCCGUCUUGAAACACGGACCAAGGAGUCUAACAUCUAUGCGAGUGUUUGGGUGUCAAACCCAUACGCGUAAUGAAAGUGAACGGAGGUGAGAACCCUUAAGGGUGCAUCAUCGACCGAUCCUGAUGUCUUCGGAUGGAUUUGAGUAAGAGCAUAGCUGUUGGGACCCGAAAGAUGGUGAACUAUGCCUGAAUAGGGUGAAGCCAGAGGAAACUCUGGUGGAGGCUCGCAGCGGUUCUGACGUGCA